rnacentral:rRNA from 1 species
CUACGGGUGGCUGCAGUGGGGAAUAUUGGACAAUGGGCGCAAGCCUGAUCCAGCAAUACCGCGUGUGUGAAGAAGGCCUGCGGGUUGUAAAGCACUUUCAAUUGUGAAGAAAAGCCUGGGGUUAAUACCCUCGGGUCUUGACGUUAACCUUAGAAGAAGCACCGGCUAACUCCGUGCCAGCAGCCGCGGUAAUACGGAGGGUGCGAGCGUUAAUCGGAAUUACUGGGCGUAAAGCGUGCGUAGGCGGCUAGGUCAGUCAGAUGUGAAAGCCCCGGGCUUAACCUGGGAACUGCAUUUGAUACUGCCUGGCUAGAGUAUGGUAGAGGGAAGUGGAAUUCCGGGUGUAGCGGUGAAAUGCGUAGAUAUCCGGAGGAACACCAGUGGCGAAGGCGACUUCCUGGACCAAUACUGACGCUGAGGUACGAAAGCGUGGGUAGCAAACAGGAUUAGAUACCCCCGUAGUC